AGGGUGAGAAGGUGGGGUAAGAGCCCACCAGUUCUGAUGGUGACAUCGGAAGCUGUAUGAGUCAUGGGUUGUAAGAUCAUGUAUACCGAAUGUGGGGCGGCCCGUCCCUUUCGUCGGGGGGUAGAUUGCUUGAGGCUUAUGGUGACAUAAGUCCUAGAUUAAUGACAAACAUCCGUUUCGGCGGAGACAGAACUCGGCUUAUACGCCUACUAUUUUU
rnacentral:RNase_P_RNA from 1 species